GACGAACGCUGGCGGCGUGCUUAACACAUGCAAGUCGAGCGGUAAGGCCCUUUCGGGGGUACACGAGCGGCGAACGGGUGAGUAACACGUGGGUGACCUGCCCUCAGCUCUGGGAUAAGCCUGGGAAACCGGGUCUAAUACUGGAUAUGACUCCAUGACGCAUGUUGUGGGGUGGAAAGCCUUGUGCGGCUGAGGAUGGGCCCGCGGCCUAUCAGCUUGUUGGUGGGGUGANGGCCUACCAAGGCGACGACGGGUAGCCGGCCUGAGAGGGCGACCGGCCACACUGGGACUGAGACACGGCCCAGACUCCUACGGGAGGCAGCAGUGGGGAAUAUUGGACAAUGGGCGCAAGCCUGAUCCAGCCAUGCCGCGUGAGUGAUGAAGGCCU
rnacentral:rRNA from 1 species